rnacentral:lncRNA from 10 species
GCUCCUACUGCGGCCGCCAGCGCCGGGCCCGCAGUGAGGAGGAGAACCUCAUUUUCCUCAACACAGAUCUAAGGGGACACCGCCUCACUUUGAGACAACUUGAGGCUGCGUCAGUGCUCUUUCUCUUCAAACUUCUUUAACAUGCCUUGGCUUAGUUGUUCUGCUUGAUUUUCCAAAAGAAGAACCUUCUCUGGAUAAGGCAGAGGAUAGUGAAGGGAGGAUUUAGUAAGUACCAUUUUUAUGAGCCUCUGCACCAACCCACUGAUGCAUGGUGUGACACAGCACCUGACAAGAAUAAGUACAACUAUUACGGCUGCGAGGGAAGUAAGAAUUGAGGCUAUUAUUGUUUUCCAUUUACCGAACCACCUUUCUAGCCAUCCUGUAAAGGAGUCAUUUACCCCUGAGUUGUUGGCUAACUCACUGGACAGAGCAGUCAGACCUU